UUCCCUUGAGAGGUUAUUCUUAAUUCCUACUUAUCUGGUGCCAUUUCUUUGGAAAGAAGUUUAUCUGUGUCAUUUCUUUGGAAGUAAGUUUAUAUUCUCUGUUUCUCAUUAAUUCAGGAAAGGUGACUACUACUGGUAUCUUGCUGAGUUUAAGACUGACCAGGAAAGAAAAGAGAUUAUUCUUAUGAGAUUAUCUUGCUGGUAUCCAACUUCUCUGUCUUCUAUUAUGAGAUUAUGAAUUCUCUUGAGAGGUACAUAUGCCUUGGCUUGAAGGAGUAUUUGAUUAGCUCAUAAAAAGUUGUUGUGACUUUGUUUGCCGCAAUGGUUGAUUAGAAAAUGAGUUAUGCAUUAUCACAGGGAUGGAAACUCAAAGGAGCAUGAUCAUCCAAAAAUGGAUACUUCGCACAAGGUCAUUGAUCCAUAUUGGAAACAUUGGGUUACAUUGCUUCUACCAGUGUGUCAUUGGUUGGCUCUCUCAUGUUAAAUUAUUUAUUUAUUUAUUUUGGAUUAGCUAGGAUGAUUCUUU